rnacentral:rRNA from 1 species
AUACGGAGGGUGCAAGCGUUACUCGGAAUCACUGGGCGUAAAGCGCGCGCAGGCGGCUAUUUAAGUUGGAUGUGAAAGCCUAUGGCUCAACCAUAGCACUGCAUCCAAAACUAUUUAGCUAGAGUGUGGGAGAGGAAGAUGGAAUUAGUUGUGUAGGGGUAAAAUCCGUAGAGAUAACUAGGAAUACCAAAAGCGAAGGCAAUCUUCUGGAACACUACUGACGCUGAGGCGCGAAAGCGUGGGGAGCAAACAGGAUUAGAUACCCCAGUAGUCC